rnacentral:rRNA from 1 species
ACGGCCUAAAGAGUGGUUAAACUAUAUUAAAAUAAAUAGAAAUAAAAAUUAAUUUGACUGUCGCACGUAUUUAUUAAUCGUAAAAUCAUAAACGAAAGAUAUUCUAAUAAACAAAUUAUUUGAACCCACGAAAGCUAAGAAACAAACUAGGAUUAGAUACCCUACUAUGCUUAGCCUUAAACUUUGGAAACCCCGCCUGAGUACUACGAGCCACAGCUUAAAACUCAAAGGACUUGGCGGUGCUCUACACCCCCUAGAGGAGCCUGUUCUAUAAUUGAUAAUCCCCGCUAGACCUCGCCACUUAUUGCCAAUACCGCCUAUAUACCGCCGUCGUCAGCCCACCAUUUAAAUGUGGAGUAGUAGGCACAAUGAUAAACAUAAAAACGUCAGGUCAAGGUGUAGCGAAUUAAGUGGAAAGAAAUGGGCUACAUUUUCUACACAGAAAAUACGAAAAAUAUUAUGAAAAAAAAUUUAAAGGUGGAUUUAGCAGUAAAAAGAAAACAGAGUGUUCUUUUUAAACAGGCCCUAGAGCGCGCACACACCGCCCGUCACCCUCCUCAAGAUAAACAAUAAUAACAUAAUAAUAUUAAUACAAAAGAAGAGGUAAGUCGUAACAUGGUAAGUUUACCGGAAGGUGUACUUGGAUUAU